rnacentral:rRNA from 1 species
UACAGAGGUCUCAAGCGUUGUUCGGAUUCAUUGGGCGUAAAGGGCGCGCAGGCGGCUAUCCAAGUCAGGCGUGAAAGCCCCGGGCUUAACCUGGGAGGUGCGUCUGGGACUGGGUGGCUAGAGUUCGGGAGAGGAGAGUGGAAUUCCCAGUGUAGAGGUGAAAUUCGUAGAUAUUCGCAAGAACACCAGUGGCGAAGGCGGCUCACUGGCCCGAUACUGACGCUGAUGCACGAAAGCGUGGGGAGCAAACAGG